rnacentral:rRNA from 1 species
GACGAACGCUGGCGGCGUGCUUAACACAUGCAAGUCGAACGGUGAAGCGCCUUCCUUUUUGGUGGGUGUGGAUGAGUGGCGAACGGGUGAGUAACACGUGAGUAACCUGCCCCCUUCUUCUGGAUAACCGCAUGAAAGUGUGGCUAAUACGGGAUAUUCUGGGUCUGUCGCAUGAUGGGUCUGGGAAAGAUAUUGUUUCGGUGGGGGAUGGGCUCGCGGCCUAUCAGCUUGUUGGUGGGGUGCUGGCCUACCAAGGCGGUGACGGGUAGCCGGCCUGUGAGGGUGGGCGGUCACGCUGGGGCUAAGGGCCAGACCGGGCUCGGGCGACGGCCAGCAGUGGGGAGGGAUGCAGCAGGGGGGCAAGCUUGAUGAAGCGACGCAGCGUGAGGGAUGGAGGCCUUCGGGUUGUGAACCUCUUUCGCGAGUGAAGCAGGCCUGCCUCGUUUGGGAGUGGGUUGAAGGUAGAUGGAUAAGGAACGACGGCUUAAUACGUU